rnacentral:rRNA from 1 species
AACGAACGCUGGCGGCAGGCCUAACACAUGCAAGUCGAGCGCCCCGCCCGGGGUGCGGCGGUCGGGUGCGUAACGCCUGGGAAUAAGCCCGUGGCUACGGAGUAGUUUAGGGAAACUGGACUUAAUAACAUAUACGCCCAUUGGGGGAAAGAUUUAGCGGCGAAGGAUGAGCCCUCGUUGGAUUAGGUAGUUGGUGGGGGAAUGGCCGACCAAGCCGACGAUCCGUAGCUGGUUUGAGAGGAUGAUCAGCCACACUGGGACUGAGACACGGCCCAGACUCCGACGGGAGGCAGCAGUGGGGAAUCUUAGACAAUGGGCGCAACCCUGAUCUAGCCAUGCCGCGUGAGUGAUGAAGGCCUUAGGGUUGUCAAGCUCUUUCAGCUGGGAAGAUAAUGACGGUACUAGCAGAAGAAGCCCCGGCUAACUCCGUG